CCCUGUGUAGCUCAGUAUGUAGAGCACGGUGCUUAUGAGACCAGGGUUCUGGGUUCAAUUCCCACAGGGU
rnacentral:tRNA from 1 species